AAGACUAUAGACCUGCGGAGUACCUGCGGAAGGAUCAUUACUGAGUGAGGGCCCUCUGGGUCCAACCUCCCACCCGUGUUUAUUGUACCUUGUUGCUUCGGUGGGCCCGCCGCAAGGCCGCCGGGGGCUUCCGCCCCGGGCCCGCGCCCACCGGAGACAAACUGAACUCUGUCUGAAUGUUGCAGUCUGAGUAAAAACUUAAUAAGUUAAAACUUUUAACAACGGAUCUCUAGAUCGGAA
rnacentral:misc_RNA from 1 species